GGAUGCGAUCAUACCAGCACUAAAGCACCGGAUCCCAUCAGAACUCCGAAGUUAAGCUUGCUUGGGCGAGAGUAGUACUAGGAUGGGUGACCUCCUGGGAAGUCCUCGUGUUGCAUUCC
rfam:Triticum aestivum genome assembly, contig: Triticum_aestivum_CS42_TGACv1_scaffold_055461_1BS